AUGAGUGGUUCCUUCUUUUGUGAUUCAGUAGCAACUUGUGUGUGCUUCUCUUUGAUCACUUUACUAGUUCUUUCUCAUUGUGGUAAUUUGUUUACAUGGCCCUCUUCCCAGGCUCCAAAAGUAGACUCUGUUUUAUUCCUUUUUUUAUUUCCAGUGCCUGGCCAAGUGCCCAGCAUUGGGAGGUGUUCGGUGUAUUGUUUGGGAAGCCAUAUUUUCUGGCACUGGAAUCAAGGCACCUGGGUGCCCAUGGGACCAUCAACCAUGCUGGGGAGAACACUGCUAAAUGCUCCACAAAAUCACAUCUGUGAAGAAGGAAGAUUGAUGGUGGCCCCUGCACGAGGCACAGACAAGACCUGUCAUAGUUGUCAUGUGGUUAUGGCAGUUUUCACCAGUGAAAUUGACCAAUUCAUCAACUGCUCACCAGGCACCGGGGAAGUCACAGUCAGACCUACAUUCGCCUUCAAAUAACAUUCUCAGGUUAGGAACUGGCCAUGACUAAAAGAGCAGAGCUGUAGAAACAUUGGGAGCAUGACCUGUGUACUCAAGUGAAAACCACAGUGUCAAGAAGGAAGCGUUGACACUCAGUGAACAUGCUAAAAACCAAUGAUGAAGGUAUUCU
rnacentral:lncRNA from 1 species